UGACCUCGAUCAGAGAACC
rnacentral:rRNA from 1 species